CCUGUCUUGAUUUUGAGAUUGGAUUUCCUGUUGUAUCCUCUCCCCAUUUAAGGAUCCAUUCAUAAGGAAUCACAUCAGCUACCACUUAUCAUUCUCACAUGGACCUUACUUUAUUCAAUAUCAAAAGUCUUAUUUUCUCAUUACCACUGUCUUAGUUUCUUAUUGCUUCUGUAACAAGUUGACAUGGACCUGAUGGUUUUAAACAAAUCAAAUUUAUAUUUUAUAGUUCUGGAGGCCCAAAUACUAUGAGCAGUCUCACUGGGCUUAGGGAGAACCAUUUCUUGCCUUCUCCACUUUUAGACAUCUCCUGCAUUAUGUGGAUUUUAUUAUUCUUCUAACUUCAAUGCCAGCUGUGGCUGAUCAAGGCACUAUGGUAGUCACACUGACUCUUGGGCCUCCUUCUUCCACAUUUAAGAACUCUUGUGAUUGCACUUGGAUCCUUGGGAUGAUCCAUGACUAUCUUCCUAUCUUA
rnacentral:lncRNA from 1 species